UUCUGGCUCAGGAUGAACGCUGGCGGCGUGCCUAACACAUGCAAGUCGAACGAAGCACUUAGACAGAACCUUCGGGUGACGUAUUGUGACUGAGUGGCGGACGGGUGAGUAACGCGUGGGUAACCUGCCCUGUACAGGGGGAUAACAGUUAGAAAUGACUGCUAAUACCGCAUAAGCGCACGAUGGUAGCAUUACCAGGUGUGAAAAAACUCCCGGUGGUACAGGAUGGGCCCGCGUCUGAUUAGCUUGUUGGCGGGGUAAGAGCCCACCAAGGCGACGAUCCAGUAGCCGGUCUGAGAGGAUGAACGGCCACAUUGGAACUGAGACACGGUCCAAACUCCUACGGGAGGCAGCAGUGGGGAAUAUUGCACAAUGGGGGGAACCCUGAUGCAGCCAACGCCGCGUGAGUGAAGAAGUACUUUCGGUAUGUAAAGCUCUAUCCAGCAGGGAAGAUAAUGACGGUACCUGACUAAGAAGCUCCGGCUAAAUACGUGCCAGCCGCUGC
rnacentral:rRNA from 1 species